rnacentral:rRNA from 1 species
AGAGUUUGAUCCUGGCUCAGGGAUGAACGCCUAGCGGCAGGCUUAAUACAUGCAAGUCAAGGGGUCAGCAAUGACACCGGCGGACGGGUGAGUAACGCGUACACAACGUACCUUUAACUGGGGGAUAGCAUUUGGAAACGAGUGGUAAUACCGCAUGUGGUUGUAGGGAGGCAUCUUUUGCAACUAAAACUCAGGUGGUUAAAGAUCGGUGUGCGUCCGAUUAGCUUGUUGGUGAGGUAAUGGCUCACCAAGGCGACGAUCGUAGGGGCGUGAGAGCGUGAACCCCCACACGGGUACUGAGACACGGACCCGACUCCUACGGGAGGCAGCAGUAAGGAAUAUUGGUCAAUGGAGGCAACUCUGAACCAGCCAUGCCGCGUGAAGGAAGAAGGCGCUAUGCGUUGUAAACUUCUUUUGGGUGGGAAGAAAAUGGUCAAUUAUUGGCAACUGACGGUACCAUCAGAAUAAGCACCGGCUAACUCCGUG